rnacentral:rRNA from 1 species
AUAUUGGACAAUGGGCGCAAGCCUGAUCCAGCCAUGCCGCGUGAGUGAUGAAGGCCCUAGGGUUGUAAAGCUCUUUCAACGGUGAAGAUAAUGACGGUAACCGUAGAAGAAGCCCCGGCUAACUUCGUGCCAGCAGCCGCGGUAAUACGAAGGGGGCUAGCGUUGUUCGGAUUUACUGGGCGUAAAGCGCACGUAGGCGGAUUGUUAAGUUAGGGGUGAAACCCCAGGGCUCAACCCUGGAACUGCCUUUAAUACUGGCAAUCUCGAGUCCGGAAGAGGUGAGUGGAAUUCCGAGUGUAGAGGUGAAAUUCGUAGAUAUUCGGAGGAACACCAGUGGCGAAGGCGGCUCACUGGUCCGGUACUGACGCUGAGGUGCGAAAGCGUGGGGAGCAACAGG